rnacentral:rRNA from 1 species
ACUUAAUGCCCCAUAGCAUUACGACUUGGCAUCAAGAUGUAAUUAAAGUUCCAACGGUAUAAGAUGAGCAUGCGUCCCAUUAGUUAGUUGGUAAGGUAACGGCUUACCAAGACGAUGAUGGGUAGGGGGUCCUGAGAGGGAGAUCCCCCACACUGGUACUGAGACACGGACCAGACUCCUACGGGAGGCAGCAGUGAGGAAUAUUGGUCAAUGGUCGCAAGACUGAACCAGCCAUGCCGCGUGCAGGAAGACGGUCCUAUGGAUUGUAAACUGCUUUUAUACAGGAAGAAACCCUCCCACGUGUGGGAGCUUGACGGUACUGUAGGAAUAAGGAUCGGCUAACUCCGUG